rnacentral:rRNA from 1 species
AGCGAACGCUGGCGGCGUGCCUAACACAUGCAAGUCGAACGUGAAAGGGAGCAAUCCCAAGUAAAGUGGCGUCCGGGUGAGUAACACGUAGGUAAUCUACCCCAGAAUCUGGAAUAACCGGCCGAAAGGCUGGCUAAUACUGGAUAGAGCGACGGAAUCCGUAAUUGGGUUUUUCGGGAAAGGGAGCCCGUAAAAAGGCCUUCGUUCUGGGAUGAGCCUGCGUCCCAUCAGCUAGUUGGUGAGGUAAAAGCUUACCAAGGCAAUGACGGGUAGCUGGUCUGAGAGGACGAUCAGCCACACUGGAACUGAAACACGGUCCAGACUCCUACGGGAGGCAGCAGUGGGGAAUCUUGCGCAAUGGACGAAAGUCUGACGCAGCAACGCCGCGUGAGUGAAGAAGGCCUUCGGGUUGUAAAGCUCGGUCGAGUGGGACGAAAAUGCUUGGAGUUCACAGCUCCAGGAACUGACGGUACCACUAAAGGAAGCACCGGCUAACUCCGUG